CAGAGACAAAUGGGGCUUCUACAUUCACCCAGCAUACUGAUGAAGCAGUAAGCAAUGCAGCUAUGGACGAGGAGGUCCCAAAAACUUCCACAGAUGUUUGCAUCCAUCAGAUGGAAAGGACAGCAGAGGACAAUGCUGUUCCCA